GAGAGAGAGGGAGAGAAAGAGAGAGAGGAAUGGUACUUACCAUAAUGGACAUGAAUUCAAGUUGUCUUAUGGAUUUUAAUGAUUCCAGGAUCAAGUGCUUAACAUAAAUUAGAUUCCAAAGCUGAUAAAGAUUUAUAUGAUAGAGGGACAGAAGUGUCAUACAACUUUUUCAACACAAAUAGAAUGUUUAUCAGCCAUGUUUAAAGAAACUAUAGCAUUACACAAUAUUUACAGUUAGCUGAAGUAUUUAUAACAAAAAGAAUGCCGAGAUUUCUAGGAAUCAACUUUGCUUUUCCAAUAUGGUACCGAGCCCUUUUCUUGGCAUCUUUAUAGAUUUCUGCAUCAGGAGCCUCUAAAGGAAUGCCUAUAAUUGAUAUUCAAUAUGACUAGAGAUGCUUGCAUGUUUUUUCUAAAUGUAAUAUUGCCAAUUAUAUUAAAUUCUAAUUACUUUUAUGUAUUAUAGAAAGACAACAAGUAUAACAUUAGAGAAUGCUAACUUUGAAUAAAGUAGAUGCUAGGCCAAGGUCAUUAUCUUGUUGACUUUAUCUUUGUUGCCUCUCUACUUAUAUUUCAUGGUUGUUAUGAUUGUUAUUCUUCUGCUAAUAAGUAUUAGAUUAAAAUAAGAAAAAUUAAGAAUAGCAUUCGCAACUCCAUACCUCCCUUUGUAAAGCCUCAUCAAG
rnacentral:misc_RNA from 1 species